GAUGAACGCUGGCGGCGUGCCUAAUACAUGCAAGUCGAGCGAAUGGAUUAAGAGCUUGCUCUUAUGAAGUUAGCGGCGGACGGGUGAGUAACACGUGGGUAACCUGCCCAUAAGACUGGGAUAACUCCGGGAAACCGGGGCUAAUACCGGAUAACAUUUUGAACCGCAUGGUUCGAAAUUGAAAGGCGGCUUCGGCUGUCACUUAUGGAUGGACCCGCGUCGCAUUAGCUAGUUGGUGAGGUAACGGCUCACCAAGGCGACGAUGCGUAGCCGACCUGAGAGGGUGAUCGGCCACACUGGGACUGAGACACGGCCCAGACUCCUACGGGAGGCAGCAGUAGGGAAUCUUCCGCAAUGGGCGAAAGUCUGACGGAGCAACGCCGCGUGAGUGAUGAAGGCUUUCGGGUCGUAAAACUCUGUUGUUAGGGAAGAACAAGUGCUAGUUGAAUAAGCUGGCACCUUGACGGUACCUAACCAGAAAGCCACGGCUAACUACGUGCCAGCCGCCGCCGUAA
rnacentral:rRNA from 1 species